rnacentral:rRNA from 1 species
UAGAGUUUGAUCAUGGCUCAGAUUGAACGCUGGCGGCAGGCCUAACACAUGCAAGUCGAGCGGUAGAGAGAAGCUUGCUUCUCUUGAGAGCGGCGGACGGGUGAGUAAUGCCUAGGAAUCUGCCUGGUAGUGGGGGAUAACGUCCGGAAACGGACGCUAAUACCGCAUACGUCCUACGGGAGAAAGCAGGGGACCUUCGGGCCUUGCGCUAUCAGAUGAGCCUAGGUCGGAUUAGCUAGUUGGUGGGGUAAUGGCUCACCAAGGCGACGAUCCGUAACUGGUCUGAGAGGAUGAUCAGUCACACUGGAACUGAGACACGGUCCAGACUCCUACGGGAGGCAGCAGUGGGGAAUAUUGGACAAUGGGCGAAAGCCUGAUCCAGCCAUGCCGCGUGUGUGAAGAAGGUCUUCGGAUUGUAAAGCACUUUAAGUUGGGAGGAAGGGCAGUUACCUAAUACGUGAUUGUUUUGACGUUACCGACAGAAUAAGCACCGGCUAACUCUGUGCCAGCAGCCGCGGUAAUACAGAGGGUGCAAGCGUUAAUCGGAAUUACUGGGCGUAAAGCGCGCGUAGGUGGUUCGUUAAGUUGGAUGUGAAAUCCCCGGGCUCAACCUGGGAACUGCAUUCAAAACUGACGAGCUAGAGUAUGGUAGAGGGUGGUGGAAUUUCCUGUGUAGCGGUGAAAUGCGUAGAUAUAGGAAGGAACACCAGUGGCGAAGGCGACCACCUGGACUGAUACUGACACUGAGGUGCGAAAGCGUGGGGAGCAAAC